rnacentral:rRNA from 1 species
UGGGGAAUAUUGCACAAUGGGCGAAAGCCUGAUGCAGCAACGCCGCGUGAGUGAUGAAGGCCUUCGGGUUGUAAAGCUCUGUCUUUUGGGACGAUAAUGACGGUACCAAAGGAGGAAGCCACGGCUAACUACGUGCCAGCAGCCGCGGUAAUACGUAGGUGGCAAGCGUUGUCCGGAUUUACUGGGCGUAAAGGAUGCGUAGGCGGAUUUUUAAGUGAGAUGUGAAAACCCUAAGCUUAACUUGGGGACUGCAUUUCAUACUGGAAAUCUAGAGUGCGGGAGAGGAGAAUGGAAUUCCUAGUGUAGCGGUGAAAUGCGUAGAGAUUAGGAAGAACACCAGUGGCGAAGGCGAUUCUCUGGACCGUAACUGACGCUGAGGCAUGAAAGCGUGGGUAGCAAAACAGGAUUAGAUACCCUGGUAGUCCACGCCGUAAACGAUGAGUACUAGGUGUAGGAGGUAUCGACCCCUUCUGUGCCGCAGUUAACACAAUAAGUACUCCGCCUGGGAAGUACGAUCGCAAGAUUAAAACUCAAAUGAAUUGACGGGGUCAUAGCUGUUUCCU